UGACCCGGAGAUGUUUGGCCCGGAGA
rnacentral:sRNA from 1 species